rnacentral:rRNA from 1 species
GCAAGUUGUGCGUCCUGAGCAAUGGCGGGGCGCAGCGUACGGCUCAGUAACACGUGGCUAACCUACCCUUAGGACCGGAAUAACCCCGGGAAACUGGGACUAAUUCCGGAUAAGUGAGGAGGCCUGGAAUGGUUUCUCACUAAAAGGGCGUUAGGAGCAUGCUUCCUUUCGUUGCCUAAGGAUGGGGCCGCGGCCGAUCAGGUUGUUGGUGAGGCAAAGGCUCACCAAGCCUAUAACCGGUACGGGCCAUGAGAGUGGGAGCCCGGAGAUGGGCACUGAGACAAGGGCCCAGGCCCUACGGGGCGCAGCAGUUGCGAAAACUCCGCAAUGCGCGAAAGCGUGACGGGGUUAACCCGAGUGCUAUCCGCUGAGGAUAGCUUUUUUCUGGUGUAAUGAGUCAGACGAAUAAGGGGAGGGCAAGACUGGUGUCAGCCGCCGCGGUAAUACCAGCUCCCCGAGUGGUAGGGACGAUUAUUGGGCUUAAAGCGUCCGUAGCUGGCUUGACAAGUCUUUCGUUAAAUCCAACGAUCUAAUCGUUGGGCUGCGGGAGAUACUGUUGGGCUAGGAGGCGGGAGAAGCCGACGGUAUUCUCGGGGUAGGGGUGAAAUCCUGUAAUCCCGGGAGGACCACCAGUGGCGAAAGCGGUCGGCUAGAACGCGCUCGACGGUGAGGGACGAAAGCUGGGGGAGCGAAUCGGAUUAGAAACCCGAGUAGUCCCAGCUGUAAACGAUGCGGGCUA